CAUUUAUAUCCGAUUAAUAGUUUUUAAGUAACAGCCGUUUUAAAUUCUACUAAUCUGUGUGAAAACUGAUAUUAUCUAGGGAAUAACCCAACCGCGUUACGCGAUAACAUCGGUUUUCACAUGGGUUAGUAGAAUUUAAAAGGGCUGUUACUUAGAAACUAUUCAUCGAAUAUAAAUGUGUGAUACAUUCAAAUUUUCAAAAAAAUAAAUUCUAAUCCUUAAGAGUAAUAUAAAAAAAAAAACAGAAUUUGAUUAUCUUUAUUAUCUCUGAAGAUAUUUAAGGGGUAUAUCUUCGUGGGACAGCCUGUAUACGACGUGCUGUACGCAGUAUUACCGAUUUCAUUGUUUUUCAUUUUUGCAAAACUAGAAAUAUUUCAAUAUUAUUAAAUAAUAUUUAUUUAAAAAGUGACAAGUGAACUUAUUGUUGCAUUUUUAAUCUAAUUCCUUAC